GUAGAUGCCGGCAGCAUGCUUCUUGUACAGCCUGCAGAACGUUCCAUUGUGAGUGCUGUGGCUUGUGUUUCACAUCGUAUGACAACCUGUGGCCCCGCACCUCCCAGACACAGUGCCAGACUGUCAGCUGAGAACAACUUAGAAGUUUUAUGAUUUGCACUCCAAACAAAAUUUAAACCAGAAUGGCAUGUACCAUUUCCACACUCUUGGAAAAGACAAGAGGUCCCCAUAUAUCAGGUACGUAUUUGGAGCAGGUACCAUAUAUCAGGUACGUAUUUGGAGCAAACCAAUAAUUAACAGGAUCUGACUUUGGAAGAGUAAGAGUAACUUCCAGGGGACAGAGCAAGAUGGCAGAAUAGAAGGCUCCACCCAUUGUCCUCCAAGUAAGAACACAAUUUUAAAAACUAUUUAUACACACACAAAAAAAUCCUUGAUAAGAGCCAAAAAUCAGGUGAGCACUAAAAACAGUCUUUUUCCUAUCUCUGAAGAGUAAGUCCCAGGCCAGGCAGCAUUCACCACUAACUGACUGAAGAACCCUUGGACCUUGAGGGAACGUUGGUGAUAGCUUGGCAAUACUCUCUGCGGGCCUGUGGCCACAAGGUGAGGCUCCUUUGACUGUGGAAAGGGGAGGGAAGAGUGGGA